rnacentral:rRNA from 1 species
UACAGAGGGUGCGAGCGUUAAUCGGAAUUACUGGGCGUAAAGCGCACGUAGAUGGCUUUGUAAGUCAGAUGUGAAAUCCCCGGGCUUAACCUGGGAACUGCAUUUGAAACUGCAUUGCUCGAAUGUGGAAGAGGGAAGCGGAAUUCCAGGUGUAGCGGUGAAAUGCGUAGAUAUCUGGAGGAACAUCAGUGGCGAAGGCGGCUUCCUGGUCCAACAUUGACAUUCAGGUGCGAAAGCGUGGGGAGCAAACAGG